UAAGUAGUAGGCUUAGGUUGAUCAAGGACUUCUCAGGCUCUAAUGCUUUACCAGUGAGGAGGUGCAUAAGAAGCUGGGAGGGAGCAGAGCCAGGACAGCUGACCCAAACUAUCCAAAGGAAUAUUCCAUGCCACAGAACCGUCAGGCUCAGUAUAUAAACUGGGGGGAGUUGGCCAGAAAGGGCUGAUCACUGCUUGGGGACAGAGUGGUUAUCAGUCUGUGGGUGGUGAGCAAUUGUAUUAUGCAUCACUUUGGGUGUUUCUUGUUCAUCUCUCUUACUAGUAUUUUACUUCGAUUUAUUUCAGUUACUCAGUCUAUGGCUUCCAUCUUCUUCGAAUGUCCUCCGUCCUACUGCAGGGGAGUGGGUGGCUGUGUGGUACUUAAUUACCAGCUGGAUUAAGCCACAAUAGCGUUCCAGUUCAAAAUACAUGGAAAUGAGUCAGAUGGUCAAACUUUAAGUUUUACUAAGAAGCCUACAGAACAUGGAAAUGAGGGAAUGUUACUUCAAAUUCUAAUACUUUAAAGGAGAGCAUAAUUUAUUACCCUUGGACAUUUUGACAGAAAUAGGUCAUUUGGUUGAAUCUUGGUAUGAAGAUGGUUUGUUGCCAAGCUGAUCAGCCUACAUCCAGGGAAGGGCAAACUGUUGUGGAAGCUGACAAUUAAUGGACUGGUCUAGAGGUUAUCAGAAUCAUAUAACUGAGGGUGUGUAUGGUUGCCUUGAAAGAACAAGGUUGAAUCCCAUGUGGUAUCUGAGUAGAAGCCAAUGGAAAGAUGGAAAGGAUGGCAGAGUGAAAUGGGUAGGGGAGGAAGAGUGGUUUUGUCUGCCAGAAUAAGGUCUCAAGAGGUAAAGAGGAGAAGAGCUUGGAAAGAUUUUUCAAGAAGUGUAGCUGAACGUGGCAGUACAUAUCCCAGGUUAAUAUCCUGUUCUUAUGUCAAAAGUAAGGAUGCAGUUGAAAAUGAAUCAUCUUGGAGAAACUUUGCUUUUUAGAAUUAAUUCCAGAAUAAGCAGAAGACAGUAACUUGGUAGAUUAAGAUUGUCUAGCUAUUAGUAGAGGUGAUGGUGCCAAAGUUGUCUUUAUCCUUUUUAUUUAAACAUAAAAACUUAGAAAUUCUUUUCUACUUUUAGAAUUAGUGAAACUGUAGCAGUAAUUUAUUUUUAUAACCUUAUUAACCUGCAAAGGCUAGGAGAAAUACUCAUCUGGCGUAUGGUUCUGAACUUAGCAAUAUUUGUAUACUAGUGGAUCUGUGGUAAUGGACAAGUAGGCAACAGGAAACUUAUUCAGUAGUCAACUCUGCUAUCAGAAACUUCACAAGUCUUAAUUUGCAUGAAGUCUGAAUAUGUUCAGUAGAAGAGGAUGGAUGUAAUGAAAGUUCUAAAUAAGAUGCUUCUGGAGUGAGGUUUUGUUAGGUCCUCUACAAUGAGGAAGACUGCCUGUGGGGCAAGGAGUUGCCUUUCUGUGGAUGUUUCACUAGAACAGCAAUGUUGAAGAUUCAGUUUGCAUCUUUGGCAAAUAAUCAUUUGAGCAGUUCGCUGAGUGUUCUCAAGCAGAAUCUUUAGUUCCUCAUUUCCUUCCGUGUCUUGUGGAUUGUUUUUUUUUGCUUAAUAUCUCUAAGUUUUUUUUUCCUGUACAGUCACAUGGUUAAAAGUUUGUGCCUCAGAUCUCAGCAUUGCAUGUUUCAAUUACUUUAAUGAAUUAAUGAAUGCAAACCUGUACAGAUUUCUGAUGUAGUGAGCCUCUGAAGUUUCACAUAUAUAUUUGUAGUGUAUAGGAGACCAUAGAAAAUGCAUCCGUGAUACAAAUUAAUUUUACAAAAGGCUACAAAUACAGCAAGUGCAUAAACAGUAGGAGGAAAGUAAGUUUUCCAUAAAUAAACUGUUUGGCAGCUUGAGAGGUCCUAGUAAGUUGAACCAACAGCCUUGUAGGUAUGAUUAGUUUUAAAGAGGAGUUUGAGAAUGAGGGGACAAUAGAUGAUAGCUCUGAAGAGUGGAUUCUUUCCAGUAGUGUGUGCCUUUCCUGUUUUUGCUUAAGAAUGCAUUAAAUGACUGGAUCUGUGUGAUAGUUCAUAAGAGAUUUUUGGUGAUUAUCAAAGAUUUGAUGCACUGAAAGGGAAGUGUUUUUGAACCUGUUAAUUACUGAUCUGUGGCAGUGCUCCUCUCUUCCAGCGUGUGGGCUUUAGGCAGAGUUCACAGGUCUCAAGUUUGUGAAGGGAGAUGAAGGUGAGGAAUUACAAUUCAUGCUUCUAAUGCUACUGUUCCUGGGGCUGAUCGGCAUACGGCUGUUGGCUUCCAGGUCUUGGUGUGUAGUAAUGCACCAAAGCUUCUGUCAGAGGACAAACUGUAACUUCCAUCUGAAGUGUGUUACACUUGAGGUUUUAUGUUGGAGUCUGAAAUUAAUCAUACUUCAUGCUCUGGAUUCUGGCUGUUUGGAGGAAAAGAAUGGCAUCCUGAGUAGGUGGGAAUUUUUUAGCAAUUGGCUUUUAUGCAACAAAUAUAAUAAGUUAUAAUAGCAUCUAACAAUAGGAACUGCUACCUUCCGGCACUAAAAAAAAAAAUAUUAAAAAUUGAGUUGUCCCUUAACAUUGUGAGUCUUGAGGAAUUUGACUUCUUUUCACCAUUGCCUUUGAUUUGUGAACCUCUCUGGAGUCUUGUCAGGUCACAUUCAAUCUUUUUGCUGCAAGAAUAAGACCUAGAGCGGUGUAUGAUAGGCAGGAUAGAGAGAAGGGUUUUAAAAUGAAAUGUAUUGAUUACACAAUAAUUUGCUUCCAAACCAUGGGGUUUUGAGAUUAAAGGAAACUUCUAAGAUUCUUGAUAGAUGAUCUAACUUGGCCACAGUGCAAAAUCUAAAGCACUGAAUCCUAAUCCUUUCAAGGCUGCACAAAAUCAGUUUGAUCAUGGCUUAAUUUUUGCAUGGAAGGGAGGGUCCUGACUGAUUCUCGUAAUAUUAGUUAUUUUUCACUGCAGUCACUGGGAAUAAACCUACUUCAGAACUGCCUCUAUGCAAAUCCUAGCAUUGUACUGCUAGGAUUCUCAGUAAUGUUUUUCAGGAGGGCUUCAUAAGCCUUUGCCACUGUGAAAUCAUGUAUUUUCCUUUAUUGUGUGACAAAAAUAAUUUGUAAAAGAGAAAUUGCAAGUGCUAGAGAGAAAUACAUGCAGCAAAACCCUGAAGUAAUCAGAUACAGGAGAAAACAAGGGGUGCAGAUACUGGAGAUUUGGCAAUUUCGGGUGUUUGAUUUGUAAAUUAGAAAUAAUCUCUAAAUUUGUAACUUAUAUUGAAAUAAUUCUAUCUUUCUCUCUGUUUUGCUGCCUCAAUGAAAAUAGAGAUGCUGGAUUUGUAGAAAACUCAAGCAACAAAGACCUUCUAGCUCUCCUGAAAUGAUCUGUCUUCUAAUUCCUUGCAUCGCUUCAAGGAGUUCUAUUCAGUUGAUGAAACUUAAUUUGAAAAACGUUUUGUAAAACCAGCAAGAAAAUUCAUUUUAAGAGAACUAUGAUGCUUUAGAAUAAGUGUGAAAGUUAGUAUUUAUUAAGGAAUGUUUGAAUUUGUAUUUUUUUUUUGCAUGAUGAGCUUUUAUUUAAACAGCAGAUCCUGUAUAUUUAUUGUUUAAGUUCUUAUUGUAAUAGCCUUGUUUUGUUGCAUUAGUAAAGGGUAUGUGUGUUUAUGUACUAUAAAUAGUAUCUCCAAUCAGAAGUAUCGUUUUCAUCCUAGCUGUGGCCUUGACCAGUAGUUGCAUCACCUGCAGCUGGAACUCUAAUAUCAAUGGCAAAGACGUUAGUGUGAAUUCUCAGGGUCUAAUAGACUUUAUUAAAUGUCUGUCUUAGCUUUCCUGCUUGUAAUUGAGAAAAUAUUUAAAGUCGUGCUCCCCUUUUGAAAUCUAGUAUUUUAACCAGAUGAACCUAAUUUAAGAGUGUGAAAUUAAAGCAUGUAGUUUGCUGUUUGAAUAUAUGGUUCCUUUGCUGUGUAUGUAACUUCUUGAGGAAAAACCUGAUCCUGAAAAAGCUAUUGAAUAUUUGUGUGAUCUGGAUUAUGAUGAUGGCCGGGGUAAAAGUCAUGUUGCUCUUCACGUGGUAAUGAUUUAUGGUUUUAAGGCAGUAAUUCUGUUUAGUAGUUCAUUAGGUGCUGGCUGUACUCAGUCAACUUGGACUUGAUAUAUCCUUUUUUUGUAAAGGACCUCAUGUUACCAAAGCAAGGAUAAGGGUGUCCCAGCUUCUUCAGUGCAGCCUCUGCCCUCCCCAGCUGGACUAGCAUAUGUAGGAGAAUAAAAUUGCUCAAGGUUGAGUAGGUUCUGAUAAGACUCAUUUAUCUGUGCUACAACCAAUUGUGAGAACUCCUGGCAUGAGCAGCCAGCUACCCACCCUCAAAGGUCAGGCUGGCAUAUGACUGCAAAAUUGUGUGUGUGCAGUGAAGUAAAGGCAUGGAAAACCUGCAUUGACUCAGUAGAAAAAAAAAAAUAGUGUGGCAGCUUCAGAGGGGACCGUGGAGUUGUGGAGAUGCUGACUUUGGCCUGCAAUUCCGUAGACACUUCAGGAAUGGGAUGUAUAUCUCAUCUCUACCAGCAUUCUGCAGGCAGCAAGGCUGUGAGCAGAGAAAUGAUGAGAAAAAUUCCAUGAAGAAAAUAGAAAAGUAAAACUUGAAGGUUUGCAAGUGCACGCCAGUGCUUUAUUGCUGGCUGGAGAGCUCGAGCCAUCUGAGUCCCUGGAAGAAACCUUUCCCUCUCCUGCUUUGUGGUGCCAGCUUUCCACCCAGCCUGUACAGUAGAGAUGGACAUUUGUUCUGUGACUUGCUUGACACCAGCAAGGAUUCUGUGGUGACAUGGAGGACAUAAGGUGUGCAAGAGCCAGGGUUUUGCCAGGCCUUCGGGUGAAGACUACCUUGCUAUUCUUCAGUUUUCCUAACU